GUGCUUAUUUUGUCAGCACAUACGUUAAAAUUAGAAUGAUACAGAGAAGAUUAGCAUGGCCCCUGCACAAGGAUAACAUACAAAUUUGUGAAGCACUCCAUAUUUUG
rnacentral:snRNA from 1 species